AGCUUUAUAUUCAACAAUGAUAUUAAAUUGCAAAUUUAGAGGUAAAGGAAACUUUUAAGGCUU
rnacentral:tRNA from 1 species